rnacentral:rRNA from 1 species
GUGGGGAAUUUUGCGCAAUGGGGGAAACCCUGACGCAGCGACGCCGCGUGGAGGAUGAAGGCCUUCGGGUUGUAAACUCCUUUUGUCGGGGACGAUAGUGACGGUACCCGGCGAAUAAGCCACGGCUAACUCUGUGCCAGCAGCCGCGGUAAGACAGAGGUGGCAAGCGUUGUUCGGAAUUACUGGGCUUAAAGGGCGCGUAGGCGGCGAUGUAAGUCCGAUGUGGAAUCCUUCGGCUUAACCGGAGAAUUGCAUUGGAAACUGCGUUGCUUGAGUCAGCGAGGGGAGGGCGGAAUUCCUGGUGUAGCAGUGAAAUGCGUAGAUAUCAGGAGGAAGGCCGGUGGCGAAGGCGGCCCUCUGGCGCUAGACUGACGCUGAGGCGCGAAAGCGUGGGGAGCAAACAGGAUUAGAAACCCUGGUAGUCC